rnacentral:rRNA from 1 species
UACGUAGGGUCCGAGCGUUGUCCGGAAUUAUUGGGCGUAAAGAGCUCGUAGGCGGUUUGUCGCGUCUGCUGUGAAAUCCCGAGGCUCAACCUCGGGUCUGCAGUGGGUACGGGCAGACUGGAGUGCGGUAGGGGGAGAAUGGAAUUCCUGGUGUAGCGGUGGAAUGCGCAGAUAUCAGGAGGAACACCGAUGGCGAAGGCAGUUCUCUGGGCCGUAACUGACGCUGAGGAGCGAAAGCGUGGGGAGCGAACCGG